rnacentral:lncRNA from 1 species
CGAGCAGUGUGGGUGCAAUAAUUAAGUAACAUGGAUUUCUAAAUUUAUUUUGUGACAUGUCCGGUCUGGUCAGCAUGUAAGAAUGGCAUUGUUAAGAUCAGAGAUUUGUCUCCUGUGUAUACACAUUCGUUUGAGGUGUACGUACAUACAUCUCCUGAAUACAAACCAAGUAAUAUGACUUAUAGGUCUUUAUACUCUCUUGAGAACCUUGAUGAUCUUGAAAUGGAGUCAGACCGCAGUGGUGAGCACUCUGAGGUUGAGCCAGUCCAGAAUGAAGUGGGCCUACCUGCAGCGACAGGUGUAAAGGAGACUUCCAACGUUUGCCCUGAGAAUCCUACCAGAGAUGGAAAGAGUGGAUUCCUGCAUUGUGGCUGACCCAUAUAUUGUGUCGGGCUGGCCAGCCAGCCAGCCAGGUAGAAAAAUGGCAGAAAAAUAAAAGACGGACAUCAGAGUAUUUUUCAGUACACCAAAACGCAAAGCAGAGCAGGCAACAGAUGGCACACAGACAGCAGAGUUGGGGACAGAUAUGCAGG